UACGUAGGGUGCGAGCGUUGUCCGGAAUUACUGGGCGUAAAGAGCUCGUAGGUGGUUUGUCGCGUUGUUCGUGAAAACCGGGGGCUUAACCCUCGGCGUGCGGGCGAUACGGGCAGACUUGAGUACUGCUGGGGAGACUGGAAUUCCUGGUGUAGCGGUGGAAUGCGCAGAUAUCAGGAGGAACACCGGUGGCGAAGGCGGGUCUCUGGGCCGAUACUGACGCUGAGGAGCGAAAGCGUGGGGAGCGAACAGG
rnacentral:rRNA from 1 species